CGCUCUAACCACAUGCUAUCUCUUUCCACAUAGUGGGCAUACAUCCUCAUUCAUUUCAAAUCCGUUCUUAAAAACAGUUGCGAAAUCGUAAUAUUAUGGUACUAAAAAGUGAAGUUAAAUAAUUAAGAUGGACGCCGAUGUGAAGGACACGAAUGCGUCAGAAUUUAACGAAAAUAAAGUUAUCGAUAAAAAUACGAACGAGAAAACGCGUCUCGUCGAGCCUAUUAACGUUAGAAAUGCUUAUGAAACGUCGAAAUACGAAAACGCCAGAAAUAAUUUUAACAUAUUCAUUCUGGUGUGUAUAACAGGCGUUGUAAUGGCCGUGCUAAUGAGGAGGAUGAUAAACUCGGAAAAUAUAAACGAUAAAUACGUAGAGCGCGCCAUCAAGAAACGUUAUUGGGUUUAUUCUGCUCAGAAUGACGUCAACAAUCCUGACGGUUUGUUAAAGCACGUGCAUCGCGUCCUAAAACGAAUCGGUUACGAAAAAACCACGAACGAAUCCGAUUGGAACUUGCUAUGGUCCCACGAUUAUCCUUUUCGAGUACUGUACCCUAAUUUACACAGUUUAAAACCAAAUCAGAAAGUCAACCACUACCCCGGAGCGGGUUUCGUUACGAACAAAGUAGACCUUGCCACGACUGAAUCGAAAUACAUCCCGAAGGCGUUCAAACUGCCACAGAAUAAAGAAGAUUUUUUAAAAUACGCCGCUGAGAACGAAGGCGCCUUGUUUUUGGAAAAGCACAAUCAACACAGAGGUGUUUACUUAAAAAACGUGAGCGAAAUAAAUCUGGCUGGCGGGGAAAGUUUCGUACAAGAAUACGUGCAAAGACCGUUCUUAGUCGACGGACACAAGUUUGAUAUUGGCGUGUACGUAGUUCUAACCUCGGUUAACCCCUUGAGAGCAUAUUGGUACAAAGGAGAUGUCCUCUUCAGGUACUGUCCGGCAAAGUAUUAUCCUUUCGAUCCAAAGGAUUUGGAUAAAUAUGUCAUUAGGGACGACUACCUCCCUACCUGGGAGGUACCUUCGCUGUCGCAUCCUUACACUGCCCUUGGGUUUAGCAUGAGAGAUGCUUUCGACAUUUACGCUAAAACAAAGGGGAAAGACCCUACACAGAUGUGGAGGGAAAUACAAAACGCUAUAGCUGAGUUAUUUGUGAAAAAAGAGCAUCAUAUUGUCGAAACUUUGAAAUCGUAUCCGUCAACAGAAAACUUCUUCGAACUAAUGCGUUUUGAUCUGGUCGUCGAUGAAGAUCUAAAAGUGUAUUUGUUAGAAGCCAACAUGUCGCCCAACUUGUCGUCUGCUCACUACCCUCCCAACCAGCUGUUGUACGAGCAGGUUCUGUACAACUUGUUCGGACUGGUUGGCAUAGCUGAUCAUAUCCAGGAGAAUAGUCUUGGAGAUUCAGCUGCUCAGAACAUGGUGUCUUCACAGAAAAACAUAGCCGUAUGGGGCGAAAUAUGCACGACGACUUGUAGAGAUAAUUGUCACAUGAAUCUAAUAUGUGAACUCUGUCGUCCCUGUCUGAGCGCAAGGUUGCGAAGCGUCUUCCUUAAGGCCCAUAAGGAGUUUCUUCAUAAGGGAGACUUUAGGAGGUUGUUCCCACCGCCUAUGGGUUCAUGCCUAGCUGUUUUUUCACGCUUCUUGCUUAUUGCUUCACCCGAUAACUGCGUGUGCUGAAAAGGUCAUCUCCGCCCAGUAACCCGUACCCUGGUGAUCUAGCCAGCCCAGGAAACCUCCAGGAGUCCAGACGUGGUGCUUCAGCGGGUCAACCCACGUCCGUUGGCUGCCGGAAUUCAGGAGGGUAACCUACAGAGGGAGAGUCAGAUCGGCCGUACAACCACGCCCUACAAAUUUGUGUGCUCAACUGCCUGUGUUUUUUUUUUGUAUAAUAUAUAUUUUUUUAAUGAGACACUAGUGUUUUGUUUUUUUCCUAAGGGAAAGACUAAGCAGUUGUCGCAAUAUGUCGCUCUCUUUACUUUUUUUACUAAUUUCUACCUUGGGUAAAGUGAUGAAAUUAAAAUUAAACUCAUGGCAGAAUUUAAUUGUAUUCAUAAUUUCACGAGUAAAUUAAUCAGUGAUAUGUAUGCAGAAGGUAUAUGACACCUUUUUGGUGUAAUGAAAAUGUAUUCGACAUGGGACCAACUGAUCUUAAAAUAUUUGCUAUAGUGAUUGAAGGUACUUUGAUGGAGAUGAUUUAUUUUUAUUGUACUCGAUGUAUAUAUUAGAUAUUUAACUAAAUUCUCCUUGAGUAAGUUUUGGGGGUAGAAGUAAAAAAUCGUAAAUACUGCUAAAAGUUAAAUACUAAAUCUACAUGGGUCGUAAUAGAAAUGAGGUAGUAAUAUUCGGGAAUUCAGUGCAGCUAGGGUCACCUAAGUCAAGAUCAAAUUGCUAUGUGAAUUAGAAUCUGGGUGUGAUUUUUUUGGAGUUUACUCCUUUAGAAUCGAUUUACAUAUAUAGGCCCGGGGUAUGAAAAUUAUGGGGACCAAAAUCGUACUAGCAUGUCACACGAAAUGCGUUAUGCGCCUGAUUGGCUCCUGAUUGCGUGAUGCGUGCGCGCGCCAAUCAGGAGCCAACGCGCGGCCGCGUUAUCGCAGGUGACGCCGGGCUGCUGCGCCGGCAGUCCGCCACAAAGCCUCGUACUGAUCGCGCGUUUCUCUCAUUAUUGUAUUUUCAUAUAUUUGUUAGUCGUUUGUUUUGUGUCUCGUUAAUUUGUUAAUAAUCUGUAGUGUAUCGUGUUGUCGUAAUAUAGAACUAUUUCUCGUAUUGUUUCGUUUAAUUUUUUAUAUCCAGUAAACUCCAGUCGUGCGUCGGAGCGGACACACACACUUUUUUUAUUGCUUAGAUGGGUGAACGAGCUCACAGCCCACCUGGUGUUAAGUAGUUACUGGAGCCCAUAGACAUUUACAGCGUAAAUACGCCACCCACCUUGAGAUAUAAGUUGCAAGGUUGUAUAGUUACAACGGCUGGCUGCCCCACCCUUCAAGCCGAAACGCAUUACUGCUUCACGGCAGAAAUAGGCAGGGUCGUGGUACCUACCCGUGCGGACUCACAUGAGGUCUUACCACCAGUAAUUACGUAAAUUAUAAUUUUGCGGGUUUGAUUUUUAUUACCCGAUGUUAUUCCUUCACCGUGGAAGUCAUUCGUGAACAUUUGUUGAGUACGUAUUUCAUUAGAAAAAUUGGUACUUGCCUGGGAUUCGAAAAACGGGUUAUCGCUCAACACGAAUGCACCGGACGUUUUAUCCCUUAGGCCACGACGACUACAUGUAUAACGGACACCAAUUUAAGAUCGAAAGCCAAUGCUACUUUAAAAGAAGAGGACUUGAAGCACUUGAACAAACCAAACAGACUUCAGUACUUAUGGUACCAGGGAAAAUGCAAUGUGGAUAUCACUUGGUGUACAUAAAACAAAUAUUAUUAACUAAAACUAAUUUAUUCAAAAUUACAAAAUAAUUCAUAAUAAAAAUCCUAAAACAUGA